AAAAACAUUUCCUUUUGAUUAUUAAUUUAAGGUAAGGCCUGCUCAAUGAUAAAAUUAAAUAGCCGCGGUAUUUUACUGUGCAAAGGUAGCAUAAUAAUUUGUCCUUUAAUUGGGGUCUAGAAUGAAUGGUUUAACGAGAAACAAACUUUUUUAAUCAAAUUUUUUUGAAUUUAAUUUUUUAGUUAAAAAGCUAAAAUGAAAUUAUGGGACGAUAAGACCCUAUAAAAUUUUAUUUUUAUAUUUAUAUUUAAUUGUUAGUUUUUAUAUUUAUAUAUAAGUAUAAAAAUUUAGUUGGGGCGAUUAUUUAAUUUAACUAACUUAAAUUUUUAUAUUUCACAAAUUAGUGAUUUUUUGAUCUUAAAUUUUGGAUUAAAAGAAUAAAUUACUUUAGGGAUAACAGCGUAAUUUUUCUGGGGAGUUCUUAUUUAUAGAAAAGUUUGCGACCU
rnacentral:rRNA from 1 species